UCCAACAAAAAUACAUCAUAC
rnacentral:piRNA from 1 species